GGUGAGUAACACGUGGGAACGUGCCUUUAGGUUCGGAAUAACUCAGGGAAACUUGUGCUAAUACCGAAUGUGCCCUUCGGGGGAAAGAUUUAUCGCCUUUAGAGCGGCCCGCGUCUGAUUAGCUAGUUGGUGAGGUAAAGGCUCACCAAGGCGACGAUCAGUAGCUGGUCUGAGAGGAUGAUCAGCCACAUUGGGACUGAGACACGGCCCAAACUCCUACGGGAGGCAGCAGUGGGGAAUCUUGCGCAAUGGGCGAAAGCCUGACGCAGCCAUGCCGCGUGAAUGAUGAAGGUCUUAGGAUUGUAAAAUUCUUUCACCGGGGACGAUUAUGACGGUACCCGGAGAAGAAGCCCCGGCUAACUUCGUGCCAGCAGCCGCGGUAAUACGAAGGGGGCUAGCGUUGCUCGGAAUUACUGGGCGUAAAGGGAGCGUAGGCGGACAUUUAAGUCAGGGGUGAAAUCCCGGGGCUCAACCUCGGAAUUGCCUUUGAUACUGGGUGUCUUGAGUAUGAGAGAGGUGUGUGGAACUCCGAGUGUAGAGGUGAAAUUCGUAGAUAUUCGGAAGAACACCAGUGGCGAAGGCGACACACUGGCUCAUUACUGACGCUGAGGCUCGAAAGCGUGGGGAGCAAACAGGAUUAGAUACCCUGGUAGUCCACGCCGUAAACGAUGAUUGCUAGUUGUCGGGAUGCAUGCAUUUCGGUGACGCAGC
rnacentral:rRNA from 1 species